GACGGGGUGGCCGAGUGUCUAGGCACUUGCCCGCAAGGCAAGGGUAGGGUGGUUCGAUUCCAUCCCCCGUCACCA
rnacentral:tRNA from 1 species